AUUGAACGCUGGCGGCAGGCCUAACACAUGCAAGUCGAGCGGCGCGGCGGAGGGGUGAGUAAUGCCUAUGUAUCGGCCUGGGAGUGGGAGAUGACGCACGGUAACGGGCGCUAAUACCGAAUACUAUCAGAUGAGCCUAGGCCGGUCUAGCUAGGUGGUGGGGUAAAGGCCUACCAAGGCGCCGAUCCGUAGCUGGUCUGAGAGGAUGAUCAGUCACAGUGGAACUGAGACACGGUCCAGACUCCUACGGGAGGCAGCAGGGGGGAAGAUUGGCCACUGGGCGAAAGCCUGAUCCAGCCAUGCCGCGUGGGUGAAGAAGGUCUUCGGGUUGUAAAGCACUUUAAGUUGGGAGGCGUGACCCAAAGAAGAAGCACCGGCUAACUUCGUGCCAGCAGCCGCGGUAAUAC
rnacentral:rRNA from 1 species